UAGUGGCAGACGGGUGAGUAAUGCAUAGGAAUCUACCUAGUAGUAUGGGAUAGCCACUGGAAAUGGUGGGUAAUACCGUAUAAUCCCCGCGGGGGAAAGAUUUAUCGCUAUUAGAUGAGCCUAUGUCGGAUUAGCUAGUUGGUGGGGUAAUGGCCUACCAAGGCAGUGAUCUGUAGCUGGUCUGAGAGGAUGAUCAGCCACACUGGAACUGAGACACGGUCCAGACUCCUACGGGAGGCAGCAGUGGGGAAUAUUGGACAAUGGGCGCAAGCCUGAUCCAGCUAUGCCGCGUGAGUGAGGAAGGCCUUAGGGUUGUAAAACUCUUUCAGUAGGGAAGAUAAUGACGGU
rnacentral:rRNA from 1 species